rnacentral:rRNA from 1 species
UGCCCAAGAGAUCGGGAUAACACCUGGAAACAGAUGCUAAUACCGGAUAACAACAGAUGAUGCCUAUCAACUGUUUAAAAGAUGGUUCUGCUAUCACUCUUGGAUGGACCUGCGGUGCAUUAGCUAGUUGGUAGGGUAACGGCCUGCCAAGGCGAUGAUGCAUAGCCGAGUUGAGAGACUGAUCGGCCACAUUGGGACUGAGACACGGCCCAAACUCCUACGGGAGGCAGCAGGC